rnacentral:rRNA from 1 species
UGAGGAAUAUUGGUCAAUGGUCGCAAGACUGAACCAGCCAUGCCGCGUGCAGGAAGACGGUCCUAUGGAUUGUAAACUGCUUUUAUACAGGAAGAAACCCUCCCACGUGUGGGAGCUUGACGGUACUGUAGGAAUAAGGAUCGGCUAACUCCGUGCCAGCAGCCGCGGUAAUACGGAGGAUCCAAGCGUUAUCCGGAAUCAUUGGGUUUAAAGGGGUCCGUAGGCGGUCUUAUAAGUCAGUGGUGAAAGCCCAUCGCUCAACGAUGGAACUGCCAUUGAUACUGUAAGACUUGAAUGCUUAGGAAGUAACUAGAAUAUGUAGUGUAGCGGUGAAAUGCUUAGAUAUUACAUGGAAUACCAAUUGCGAAGGCAGGCUACUACUAAGUGAUUGACGCUGAUGGACGAAAGCGUGGGGAGCGAACAGGAUUAGAUACCCUGGUAGUCCACGCCGUAAACGAUGGAUACUAGCUGUUCGGCGCAAGUUGAGUGGCUAAGCGAAAGUGAUAAGUAUCCCACCUGGGGAGUACGCACGCAAGUGUGAAACUCAAAGGAAUUGACGGGGUCAUAGCUGUUUCCUG